rnacentral:pre_miRNA from 1 species
UGAGUGCCUCGUUACAUUGUGCGUUUGAGAGGAAGAAUCGUAAUGUAAGGGUGGCACUCACA